rnacentral:rRNA from 1 species
AACGUAGGGGGCCAGCGUUGCUCGGAAUUACUGGGCGUAAAGGGUCUGUAGGCGGUGCGGCAAGUCGGAAGUGAAAUCGCAGGGCUUAACUCUGCGGCUGCUUCCGAAACUGCCGUGCUCGAGUGUGAGAUGGGCGAGUGGAAUUGCAGGUGUAGCGGUGAAAUGCGUAGAUAUCUGCAGGAACAUCCGAGGCGAAAGCGGCUACCUGGACAAUUGCUGACGCUCAGGCACGAAAGCGUGGGGAGCAAAAGGG